UACAACAGAAUAAGAUCUGAGUACAACAGAAUAAGAUCUAAGUACAACCCAGUGUGCAAAAAGCAAUGUGCAACAACAAAACAAAAAAAAUCUUGCUUCCAGAAACAAAUUGUAAAACAAGGGAAACUGCACGAGUGGGAUUAUUGCAUUCAAAAAACAUCCUCUGACGGGAAGUUUUCAUUUCCUAAGAAAGAAUGACCACCCAAAAUGUGACGUCACCAUCCUAGAGGAAAAACUUCAACAGAAAACAGAUCAUCACUGCGUCGCUCUUCAUCCUCCUCCUCUUCCUCAUCAGCAGGGGAAAGCCAGAUUCACUCUCGUUGUGGAGCGAGCUUUAUCCGCUCAGCGAUUCUUCUCACUACAUUUUCCUUUUUUUCUGCAUCUGCGAUUUUUGUAGCCUCCUAUUGGAUGUUGUGCUAUCAGGGUGGCGCCAAGCUGCGCUGUGAUUGGCUGGGAGCGACACACCCGCUGUCCCAAGGCCAACGCCCACAAGAGUCCCGAGCUCAAAACAAGAAAAACCAGGCAGAUGGCAGGGUCUCUGCAGACACACACACCAACACACACUGCCAGUGGCUCAUCAAUGAUGAUGGAGAGGGAUUAUUUUUGUAUGAGUCUAUACAUUGUGUUUAAGGAAAAUCCCACUCAUCCUGCCUUUAAGCCUCAAAUGACUUGUUAAGAUGGAGAUAUUUUGCAGUGCAGACACUGAGCGGUUCAGUUCUGUUUCAAUUCUGUUCAUCUCUCAGAUCGGCUGCCACCAAACAUGCAAAUCCUUAUAUGGCGUCAAGGCUGCACCAUAAAAGACUGUUUGCCGUGUUUUGUUUGGUUUCUUCGCUGCUCGCAGAAAACAAAACUUGUGUUGGCGGCACGAAUGCAAGGAGUUUCUGUUUCGAGCAUCUCUGUUGCUUGCAAAAACCAUGAAAUCAAACAUUUGAGUGUGUAAUCCUCACAUAAACAUGUUCUGACCGUGGAGCGUGUGGUCAGGAUUUGCAUAACGUCUCGACAGGCUUGCACAGGUUUGCCUUGGUUCUUCACUCUCUGUUACUUUAGGGUCAUUGGGUGGCCAAGUGCACUGCAAAAAAAAAAAAAAAUCUCCAUCUUAGUAAGUCAUUCAGUCUCAUAUUCAGUGUUAAAAAAUACUGGCAGCUGGGUGGGAUAAUCUCUGUAGUUUCACUUGUUUCAGUUUUUUUUUUUUCCUGGGAACAAGAAAAUAUGUUGAAUCAAGGCAGAAUACGGCAGAUUAGCCCACGAGGAUCAAGAAAAUGACCUGAUUAGGGAAAACUCUGUAAAACAAGUUUCAGAUAAUAUAUAAAUAAGAUUUUAAGACUGAAUAUGACUCGUUAUAAUGGAGUUUUUUUUUUUUUUCUUGUGGAAUGUCCUGCAGGUUCAUUCUGGCCUGCUGGAGGAAGUGCGAGGGAAAAUAGAUUUCCCCAGUGAGGAUCAGCAGAGUGUCACAGCAUCAUGAUCGUAUGUCAUUAUAACCCGAGCAGCUGCAGGAGCUUCCGCAUGUUAUGUCGCCCUCUAGUGUCCACAAGUGGAACGACAGGAGUGGCAAGGUGUGUUUAAACCAGAGGUGGCAGCAUGGCAAAAUGUUGUCAUGAAAGUUACAUUCCUCUGUUAGUUUAGCACACACACACACACACACACACACACACACGUCACAGCAGGCUCUUAUCAAAACACUUCUAGGAGACUGAUUUUCUCACCUUCACACACACACACUUGUUACCUGGACGUGUCACACACAACACGACGCGCCCCGUGUUAUUGCCUCGGCCAUUAUGGGUCAUCUGACACCGAGCUCUCAAACACCUGCGAGGGCUGUAGGGACAAUGCAGCAUUUAGCCUCGUUGUCAUGACGACCCCGCGGUUACAUAAGCGUCGGUUCCCAGAAACGGCGGCGUACAGAGGUCUUUGUGCUCUGACACUAGACACCACACACACUGCCCUGCCGUAAGCCACAUUCCUCCAGUCGGAGCGGCUUCGGCCCGACCUGUCAGGUGGGAAAGUGACGAGUGUGGCCGGCAACAGCAAAUCCCCUUUAACAAGCCAUUUAAUCUACCAGCGAGUCCUCAAAUAUUAUGUUUCCUCAGAUGAGGGAGGAAAGUCUGCCAGCCAGGAUGCGUGGCAGGUGGCAAUUUGCUUUUUGCAGUUCAAAACAGCUUGACUUUAUCUCAAUGCUGGGGGAGCGACUUGCCUUGAUUCACAAUGUUAUCACUUGAAAAUUAAUUAAAUGACUGAAACUACAUUGGAAAUAAGUGAAGUUAUGUCCGUUUUUUCCACUUGUUUCAAGAAAAAUUGGAUUUUAAGACAUGCAACAUUAAAGGUUUUGUGAAAGUAUAUAUCCACGACAUUUUUCAUAUAAAUAAAUGUGCAUUUUGGCACUUUCUAUCACCGGUUGAUAAAAUACAGCAGUAUUUCAACGUGUUUUCAGUUCCUGGAGGUUUAAUAUUUGCGGUUCUAAAUACUCAGUGGCUUCCUGCUGCACAGGAAAUGGUGCAUUUUAUAUUUCCGGUUUAUUUGGAAGAAGAACUGGGUAGUAAGCAUGAGCAGCCACAGCCACCGUAGCUGAACAGGCAAAGAAAAGAGAAACUCAAACUCCAUUAACAGGAAAUCUAAGUCCCACCUCAUUAUUUGAUUGACAGGUGAAAGGAGUGUUAGGAUUUUUUUUUUUUUUUUUUUUUUCAGUGUGUAUGGGUGUGUGAGAGGGACACUUCCACGUACACACACAGCAUUUGUUGUUGUGUUGUAAAUGUUGUAAAGGGCAGUCAGUAUGACAUUAUAGAUAAGGAUAAGUGGAAAUCAGUGUUGAGGCAAGGAGGGGUGUGUCCUUGUCCCAUCACAUGCACAACAGUGUGUGUCAUGUGUCCAUACACACCUGCAGGACAGGUACAGGUACAGCCCAGUCCGUUCAAUUGUAAAAUGACUGCUGACAGGCCGGGGAUGUUGGAGGAGCUAUUGUUAGGCCAAUUCAAUGGGGAGUUUGCACGCCUGUACACACACAAAUACAUAAACACAUAUAUAUGCACUGAGUCAUACGGGGCUGUCCGCACUGUCAUCAUGUGCUGCUUCUGUCUUUUUUUUUUUUUUUUUUUCCACAGGAUCCAUGGCAGUGAGGCUGUUAAAGCUGUGAGGGUCCAAACUUUGGUUUAGCCUAAAUCCGCCGGGUGUGCGCUGUAAUGCUGAUUCUGCUCGGCUGGAGGUGUCGAGUGAAUUUCACGUGCCAGCCGUCCGUGUCGCCGGGCUGCCAUGGCAACCGCGCUCACGUUAAAGACAGGCCUCGUCCUCGCAGAGAGCGCUGCCACGCUUCUCCUCCGUCUGACAGGAUGGCUCAUCCUCAUCCUGUUUGACAUGUACGGAGGAUGCCACCUGAAAGGGUAUGACUUUUUUAACCUUAUUUUGGGUGUUGUUGUCGUUGCUGUAUCGCUUUUUAAAUCGUGUUUUCUUCAAACUAGCCCUCUCAUCAUGCUGACUCCUAGUUAUCAGUGUUAGUCUUACUUUAUCUUGUUCUUUCCCCAUAAUUUUCCCUCAAGAAGCACCAUGGGUCCUGUUGUAAAUAAGGAUUCACUCUUAAUGAACUUGCUAAAAUAAUGGGUACAUUAAAAAAUACAGCCACUGUUAUCUUUUAUAUUCCUUUAAAUGACUCUCAAAUAAGUGUUAGUUCACCUCACCGCUGCAGCUGUGGUCCGACACCGAACGUCUUCCCCCAGAAGCUGGUUUCACAUGGUGGUUUAGAUUUGUGUUCCCAUUGUCUAGCACCAUUUGAAAUCAGUGUUCUUGGGGACAGGAGGACAGCUCUGGCAGUGAGUGAGCGACGAGAGUGUCUCCCUCCCUUCCUCUUCCACUUCCCCCUCCUCCACCUCCUCCUCCUCCUCUUCUCUUUCCCCAUUAAAAGAUGACUGAUUUCUUCUGGUGCUUAGAGCCCCCUGCAGCCUUCUAGCACCAUUUGAAAUCGGUUAUAAAACAUGGGAUUAAUGCGUCAGAGUCUUCCGCGAUGACCAUGAGGAAAAACGGCAGCUACCGGCUCCUCCUGUCCUGAAUCAAGCUGGACGGGAUCUUAUCGGGCUGUACAGGACGCCCGCUGAAGGCUGCUCCUGUAGACUGUGCAUGAAAAAUAGAUUUAUAUCCUGCACUGUUCAGUCAUCUGUCUGCCGUCUUUAUAUUGCAUCUAUAUUUUGUUUAUGUAUUUAUUCAUGUACGCCGCCUUUCCGUGCCAGGACUGGGGAUUAAAUCCCUAACUCCUGGCAGUGUUCGUGCCUCUUGAACUCCCCAAGGCCACAUGGGAAAGUGGAAAUAAGUGAUGUUUUUUACUGCCCCAAAGCACGAAAGGACCGUGAGCUGCAGGAGGUUGAUAGGGUUGUUCAUUAUUACCAAUAGCUCAAAGAAUACUUCCCCCAGCGCGAAGAUGUCUGGCUUUCAAAACUCACUUUCCAAUCUGUUUUAUUAUUCUGGUAUUUAGUAUGGUGAUAUAUUACUUUUCACCAGACAUUAGGGCUGGGUGAUAUAUCGAUAUUCUGUAAGUAGAAUGAUUUUAUGAACUGUUCUAGCUGUUCUGUUGUUUGCCUCUACUUGCUUGGGUUCACCAUAUCCACAUUAUUAAUGACUGUUUAUCACAAAUCUCUUGUGUGUACAGGAAAUGUCUUAUGAAAGCCCCAAUAAACAUCCCUACAAUAACGUUCCAAUGUCAAUUAUGAGUUAUUUAGUCAAAGAUCCUGGUUCCUCAUGGAUUUCAUCUCUAAUUAGCAAUUCCAGGACACUAUAAACACGUGGUCUGUAAUUUUCAAUGUUGCAGUUCCCACUGGUCACCACUAGAGGCUGAUUAACGGCACGGAUUGCCCCUUUAAGUUUAUGAAGUGGCUUUAAAGUGAAUGAACAGAAGCUUUAUGUAUUUUUAUGUAUUUUUUUAUAUGUAUUUGAUAUAUCUUUUUAUGUAUUUUCUUCCCUGUGAUGAAGUUAAAUUUCUCACUUGCCAUUGGUCAACAAACAACAUAGAACCAGACCAUGGUGCCGUGGAAGACCAAGACUUUGGAAAAACAGAUAUUUCUUUUUUUUUUAUAUGGAUUUUUUUUUAAUGGACUUUCAUCCAGACUCACCAUGGGUCUACACACAACACAAAACAAGACCAUGGAAACUCAGGAAAGAUCCUGUCCAGCAGACACACAGCAGAACCUGACUUUGUGGAGCUGAUAGCAUCAGAGGGAAGG